AAAUACUAUUCACUCUAGGUAGUUUAGCAAUUCGAAAUAGUUGGAGCCCUUCUGAAUGUCCGUUUGAACUCAAAUUUGACAGGCAAGAUCGGUUUAACAUACUGAGUAAGAAUACAUCUUAAGUUUUCAGUUUCGACUGCGUUUGGUCACUGAAAACUAUACCGAACUAUAAUUUUUAUCAGAUAGCUUUCGGAUUUUAUUUCUCACUCUACGGGUGUCAGAUAAUAUGAAACUUUAAAUCUAGCCUCAUAAAAAUAUUUCUGACUUAACCUCCAGUUUUCAUAAUUUUCUGACACUGUGCAUUUUCUGCUAAUUUAUCUGUCUCGUUUUCAACAGAAAAUUCUAGAUCUUCUAUUUUCAUUCCGAUUUUAGCACAAGUCACUUUUGAUUUAUGUUUUACUCCUCUAAAUCCAAUAAAAAUAGUAUCUCAUACUAUUUUUAUUUAUUUUUAUUUUUAUACCAAAAUCCGGUAUAUUAAUUCCACCGCAACCUCACCGGAACCAUUCAAAUGGCUUUCAAACCAAAUGUACACCGUAACUUCAUAAUUUUAGAAGUCCGGUACCUUACAUCCUCCCCUCCUUAAAAGAGUUUCGUCCUCGAAACUAUCUCACUUCAAUUCCAAUUCAUACCCCAACUCAACUUAUCAAAUAGUCGAGGGUUCCAAUGCACUUUUGCAUCUCGGAGUGGCCUUUCACUCAUCGGAACUAUCCAAAGGCUCACUACGGAGGAUGUGAGACUAGAUUCACUCACAUUUGCCACGUGCAGCUCCAAAAGUGCAUUACCACCAUGCAAAGAACUACUCUUGCAUUAUACACCCAAUCGAAAAAUUUCACUCCGAUUCGAUCACCUACAUUGCUUAGAAGCAAUAUCGUUGGUGACUCGACCAAUCGCGAGUGGUUCAUCACAACCGGAUCCUUGCUCUAUCACGAGAUGGCCCACUCCGGCACAUCUCCAAUCUCAAUCCACAAAAGAGCAUUGUCCUCAAGCUCCAAUUCCCACGUGGCUAUCCACAUCUCAAUGUCGCACAAGAGCACUUCGCCCUUGAUAUCAUAAGCCACGACCAACUCUACUUCGCUCUUGCGACAAAUCCACACGAACCCUCCGUUCGUGAAUCUAAGCCAAACUCACUAAUAGAGUUAUCGGCUAAACCGAUUACGUCGGUUUCCAUCGGUGGACCAACGGUCACCCGUCCUACGUAGGUCUACCGCCUAAACCUCUUACAACUACGCAUAGCGUCCCUCGCUCACCAGCGUAGACCCAAUCAUAAUCGGGCGAGAUUCUCAUUGGAGAAUUCGCACACACUCCAACCAGGAGCAACCGUGACCCCAAACCACCUCAAAUCCUCGGGUUGGGUCACUACACACUCGGUGUAUCCUCGAUCUCAUGAUCCAACACGUGGCAUUCCACGCUCCCGGGUCAAAGCUCGAACUACCGUCCUAACCGAAUCUCUGCCCUACCCGUAGGUACCGGGUCGCUGUCUCUCACAGCUGACUGCGCCUGCCCAAAUGGCCCAGGCUCCACAGUCCACAAAUGGUCCAGGCACGGGUCAUCCCCAAGCACUACCCGCCGUCGUCGUCCCACACGACAUACUCUAUCGAGCUAUAAAUACACUAUCGGCUCCUAAGCACCUAGUGCGAGCCACCAGCCCUACGAGUGAUCCAUGGCCCGCUUCACAUUUAGCAAUGCUGAGUGCUAGUGCCAACUCACUCUCCCGGCUGAAUCGAAACCGCACUCUACGAGUACCCACACUCGAGCGCUCUAUACGCCUCUAUAGCGUCCCACACUAAGUCCAGCAUUAGGCAAUCUUGCCUAUGCACACCUGCCGCACGAGCGCAACCGCCUACCUCACUUUGAGGUACUACUAGGCCUACAUGCUCAAACUUGGCCACUAAUCGACCGUUCUCUUAACUGUGAUGCUACUUUCACUGUUCGAUCAAUCGGAAUGACAUCCGAAAUUUUCGGACUACUCGGGUGUUCUCAUAAGCAUCAUGGCUUAACUCUCGCAAUUUACUACUCAUAUUGCUCUGAGAGUCGUUUCGCCACUUCUAUCUCUACCGCGAGUCUCACUUCUCGCCAUAGAUUACUUCUAGCACUUUGCUAGUGCCAUCUGGCUCUAUACCUAUACUGGCAGGUACUACGCCCUCUGAUGACACAAAACUCCAUUUCUAGAGCAAUCAAACCUAUCUCUAGAAAUUCACCAUGAGAGAGAGCUUAGAAGCUUACCUCUCCGAGAAGCUCCAACCAAGGAGAAGAUGAAGAAGAUGAGGAAGACCUCCUUCUCCUUCUCUUUCUUUCAUUUCCUUUCUUUCUCUUCUUGUUUUCUAGAGAGAGAAAGAGAGAUAUAAGAGGGUGUGUGGGUGAGAAAUGAGAGAGAAGAGCUCUCAUACCCUUCACAUAGCUCCACGUGUUGCAUAAGUGCAAAUAAGCCCCUCAAGUUCAUCCUUGUGCACAGCCCUCACUGGGCAUUCUGCGCCCAGAGGGACCGGUCCCUCGUCGGGGAGACCGGUCCCCGAGAGCCCUCCCCGCGGCCUGGGGACCUUUCGCGUACGAGAACCGGUCCCCACCCGAGAGACCGGUCCUUCCUGAGAGACCGGUUCCCGAGAGCUGAAUUUCUAGGACUUAGCCUUUCUUUGCCCUUCUAUCGCUGGUGUCGUAUACGGGGACCGGUCCCCUCAACUAGGGACCGGUUGCAUCAACCUCCCCCGCAACCAUCAGCUACGGGGACCGGUCCUCCCGAUCCUCCCUUCCAGGGACCGGUCCCCGAGAGCAAAAUCUGUUAAGUCCAGAUUUUUGCAUAUUUGCUCUCGCGGACACGUUUUCAAUGCACUUUUUGUAUUUUGGACAUCUUUAGCUUUUCCGGAGGAUACUCACUCGACAAAAAGUCGAUCCUGGACGAAGCACAACUCUCGAAUUUUGAGAAUUCACUUCCUUACAUGCACAACCUCGACCACGUCUGGCCAAGGUCUCCGCUGAGGCAUUACCCCGCCACUCACACGAGAGUGGCCAAUCACUCGCGAAGUCUCAAGUCUCCGCUCGUUCCGGAUUGCUUAGGGACACCACUCGUCCUAUCCCGCGCAGAUCUAGAUGAAGAUCGCCUACGCGGUGCUAUCACUUCCUAAGACACGACAACUCGGUCGACUCUCGAUCCUCAAGGUCGAGCGCAAAACAACUGACACUGACUCAAAUCUGGCGAAAGUCAUGCAAGGGUGUCUAUCCUCAUCACUCGAUUUCAUGUUGUGUAUACCCAACAUGAACACACUCGGUUGAGAAUAAACCACACCUCAAGUCUACCUGUAACAUCCGUUUUAGAGGUUUACUAAUCUGACCCAAUCGAUCAAUCUUUCUCCAUAAGUCAAAAGUCCUCGUCUCUCACGAGCCUUAUUCUCCUAUGGUUUACUAUACUAGGGUCUCCUAGGUCUGCCUAAACCAUUUCCCAUUCUCUACUUUAUGCUCUGAUACCACUUUAUCUGUCACGCCCUGAGCCCCACCUAUUUGGUCGGGUUCGGGCACGCCGACAGACCGCCGAACGGACAGAGUCUCCCCUGUACGUCCUAGGCGUCGCAACCAAUACAAGUAUAAGAAGUUCCAACCAGGAACAGUAUUCAAGCAAGAUUGCAUAAGGAAGGUAUCAAACAACAUAACACAUCCUAUGUUAUUACAAGCAUUCCCAUUAGAUUCAUUUUUACAUCACAUUAGCAUUAUUACAUUACAUUUUCCUUCAAAUACAAUUAAUGAUCGCAAUAUUAUUACAAGUUUGCUCUUUUUUUUUUUCCCUCUACCCCUAGGCUAUGCUGACUCGGGGUACCUCUAUCUUUGGUCUCUGGGGUAGGGCGCUAUCUAUGGAGCUACGCCCUCGCCUUGCGCCGCCGCGCCGCUCACGUGCGAACCUGUAACACCCCAAAACAACGUGGGGUGAGAACCAACUCCAUGGUUCCCAGUGGGUACGGCCACCCAAGGAAAAAGCUCGACCAAUAGAUCUAAGGAGGCCCUACAACAUGUUAGUCCAACAGAUAUCCAACAGAUAUAUAUAUUCAAGUAUUGAAAUACAUGUUGUGCCUCACAAUAUACAAUAUGAAAUUCAUGCAGUUUAUGCAACCAUGCAACCAACUAGUAGUUCAAUCGAUACUACUUUUAUUCCUGUUAUUCACAGUUCAACCAAUUGACUUCUAAGUUUUCCUCUAUCCUAGAUUCCUGUCAAUUACAAUUCUACUCAUAGGGUUUAACCUGCUUUUAUAAGCUAUCCACUCGACUCGGUCUUGAGUCAAUCAUACGCGGAAUACCGCACAAAGCCAGGCUCAAGGUGAAGGAUGUCUCACAUGCAGCUCUGCCCUAAAUCCACUCAACUGGGAUGCAACUAAAACUCAUGUAAUGCAUCAAAUAAUAAAGGUUUACUAUCGUGCUAACGAAUUCGAUCCAUGUUCGAAUAAUAAUGUUCAAUGACAUUGUUCACUGUUCUAUUACCCAAUCUGUAGCGAAGCCCUAGGGUUCGCCAAUAACUCACCUUUCAAUCCCAAAGUUGGGAGGGAGCUCCAAGUGCUCCCAAGCCUGGGACCGUCUACGGACCUCCAUGUGGUCCGGACCUCCAAGUGGUCCUAGUCGCACGACACUCCGGAGUACCCGAUGACAAUCCCCUCCAUGUGGGGAUAUGGAUGGCUAUACCACCCCAAAAGCAGACUGUGAGCUAGAUCUAUCCUCUCCAAGUAAGAAUACCCUACAACUAGGGUCAACAACCGAAUCAAAUCCUCUCCAAGUGAGGAUGCUCUACAACUAGAGUCAACAACCCAAUCAAAUCCUCUCCAAGUGAGGAUGCCUUACAACUAGGGUCAAUAUCUCAAUAACUCAUCGACAACCUCUCUAUGUGAGGGUACUUAGGUUUACUAAGUUCUUUAUCCACAAGGCAUUUUCUAAGAGAUUCACCUACCCUAGGUUCUCAAACCUCUAGUGUCAAUUACACUACAUUAAUGCCACUCGAUAUGUUCUUGUUUUCCAAAGUCAAUUUCUCUAAUCGACCAAAUUCAACAUGCAUAAUUCAUCUACUAUGUUCCACAAUAUGGCAACACGCAUAAUUCUUCUAUCAUAUGCAAUAUAUGUCAUCAUGUAUAUGCUUCUAUUUAACAUAUCCACAAUAUGUUAAUUCACAUCAUGUCAUCAUGCACAUAUAUUACUAGUAUCACAUGAUAUGUUAACAUACAUAUAAUCAUCAUCCAAAGUAGUCUAUACUUAGCAUCUCAUGCAUUCGUUUAGCAUUUAAUUCAUUAUACAUUUCAUCUCAUUGGUAGGUAAUAUCAACUACAUAAUAUGUUUCAAACAUUCAUAUUAUCAUGUAAGCCUACCAAUACAACUAUAUGCAUCAAUGUGAAUUCAUAUGUUUCUUAAACAUAAAGGGCGACCUAGUCGCUUCAGUAAGCACAAUCCACCUGCUAUUGCAUUCUGAUUGCUUGUCGACACUUGCAAUCGGUCUCCCGCGGCAUCCGGCACCCGGUUUGGCCCGAUCUCUCGCGCGACCACCCGAACGGCCUCCAAUCCACGAUCCGAAAAUUAAAGGUCUUCGGUUAUGUGCCACGGUGCUUCAAAUCCAUUUUCAUGAGUUUACGAUGUCACCUCGGCCCUCCAGGCGGAAACAAAGCCUAACGUCCGUUUCUUUAAUAACUUCACAACAGCUCGACGAAUCGGCGAACCAACUUCGCAAACGCGUUCGUUUACCUGGCAAUUAGGUUUACAAAGGGUUAAUAUAGAUCAAACGCUUAUAUUUUAUAAAGCUCCAUUUUUGAAGCCCUAGUUGCCAUUGAUGCUAAAUACUCCAAAUCAAUUCAAGAUUUAGAUACUAGUUAUCUUAUUAGCAUCCUAGGAUUCCAAAAAUACCAUUUCUAGAGAUCAAUGCCCAUGAUCUACCAAGAAACCCAUUUCAAGCCCUAGGUUUACAACUAGGCAAGAAAUCAUUAAAUCGAUCCAUGAUUUAAGCUACAAUCAUUUACUUAGCAUGCUAGAAUAUCUCUAAAUCCAUUCUUGGAGCUUAAAAACCAAACUAUAGGGAGAUGCCAUUAAAGCUCUUCAAGCUUACCUCCAAAAGCUUGCUUCUCAUGCAAGGAAGAAGAUGGAGAAGAUGAAAAUCCACCCUUGAGCUUCAAUCUCCACCAAAAUCACCUCUUUUGGGAGAGAUUUAGAGAGAGAAAGGGAGGUCUCUCUCUCCCUCCAUGCAUGCAUGUGUAUGUGUGGCGCAUGUGUUCACAGUUGGGGGGGGGAAGAAGAGCAAUGCUCUUUUAUACAUUAACACCCAAAACACUAUUCACUCAGGCAGUUUAGCAAUUUGGAAUAGUUGGAGCCCUUCUGAAUGUCCGUUUGAGCUCAAAUUUGACAAGCAAGCUUGGUUUAACGUACUGAGUAAGAAUAUAUCUUAAGUUUUCAAUUUCGACCCCGUUUGGUCACUGAAAUCUGUACCGAACUAUAAUCUUUAUCAGAUAGCUUUCGGAUUUUAUUUCUCACUCUAUGGGUGUCAGAAUAAUAUGAAACUUUAAAUCUAGCCUCAUAAAAAUAUUUCUGACUUAACCUCCAGUUUUCAUAAUUUUUUGACAUUGUGCAUUUUCUGCUAAUUUAUCUGUCCCGUUUUCAACAGAAAAUUCUAAAUCUUCUGUUUUCAUUUCUAUUUUAGCACAAGUCACUUCUGACUUAUGUUUUACUCCUCUAAAUCCAAUAAAAAUAGUAUCUCAUACUAUUUUUAUUUAUUUUUAUUUUUAUACCAAAAUCCGGUAUAUUACAUUCCACCGUAACCUCACAGGAACCAUUCAAAUGACUUUCAAACCAAAUGUACACCGUAACUUCAUAAUUUUAGAAGUCCGGUACCUUACAUCAACCGAGUUUCGGUAUAUUACAUUC
rnacentral:lncRNA from 1 species